rnacentral:rRNA from 1 species
AGAGUUUGAUCCUGGCUCAGAGUGAACGCUGGCGGCGUGCCUAACACAUGCAAGUCGAACGAUGACGGAGGAGCUUGCUCUUCCUGAUUAGUGGCGCACGGGUGAGUAAUGCAUAGAUAAUGUGCCCCUUAGUUCGGGAUAGCCACUGGAAACGGUGAUUAAUACCGGAUACUCCUUCUUGCCUCAAGGUAAGUCGGGAAAGUUUUUCGCUAAGGGAUCAGUCUAUGUUCCAUCAGGUAGUUGGUGAGGUAAUGGCUCACCAAGCCUAUGACGGAUAUCUGGUUUGAGAGGAUGAUCAGACACACUGGAACUGAGACACGGUCCAGACUCCUACGGGAGGCAGCAGUGAGGAAUAUUGCACAAUGGAGGAAACUCUGAUGCAGCAACGCCGCGUGGAGGAUGACGCAUUUCGGUGUGUAGACUCCUUUUAUUAGGGAAGAUUAUGACGGUACCUAAUGAAUAAGCACCGGCUAACUCCGUGCCAGCAGCCGCGGUAAUACGGAGGGUGCAAGCGUUACUCGGAAUCACUGGGCGUAAAGGGUGCGUAGCCUGGCUUUUAAGUCAGAUGUGAAAUCCAAUGGCUUAACCAUUGAGCUGCAUUUGAAACUGAAAGCCUAGAGUUCAGAAAGGAGCAGAUGGAAUUAGUGGUGUAGGGGUAAAAUCCGUAGAUAUCACUAGGAAUAUCAAAAGCGAAGGCGAUCUGCUGGGAUGAUACUGACGCUGAGGCACGAAAGCGUGGGGAGCAAACAGGAUUAGAUACCCUGGUAGUCCACGCCCUAAACGAUGAAUGCUAGUCGUCGGGAAGCUCGUCUUUUCGGUGACGCACUUAACAGAUUAAGCAUUCCGCCUGGGGAGUACGGUCGCAAGAUUAAAACUCAAAGGAAUAGACGGGGACCCGCACAAGUGGUGGAGCAUGUGGUUUAAUUCGAAGAUACACGAAGAACCUUACCUGGCCUUGACAUCCCAAGAACUUUCCAGAGAUGGAUUGGUGCUAGCUUGCUAGAACUUGGUGACAGGUGCUGCACGGCUGUCGUCAGCUCGUGUCGUGAGAUGUUGGGUUAAGUCCCGCAACGAGCGCAACCCUCGUCAUUAGUUGCUAACAGUUCGGCUGAGCACUCUAAUGAGACUGCCUCCGUAAGGAGGAGGAAGGUGAGGACGACGUCAAGUCAUCAUGGCCCUUACGGCCAGGGCUACACACGUGCUACAAUGGGGCGUACAGAGAGCUGCAAUACCGCGAGGUGGAGCCAAUCUCUUAAAGCGUCUCUCAGUUCGGAUUGUUCUCUGCAACUCGAGAACAUGAAGCUGGAAUCGCUAGUAAUCGCAGAUCAGCUAUGCUGCGGUGAAUACGUUCCCGGGUCUUGUACACACCGCCCGUC